AUUGAACGCUGGCGGCAGGCCUAACACAUGCAAGUCGAACGAGCGGCGGACGGGUGAGUAAUGCCUGGGAAACUGCCCGAUGGGGGGGGAUAACUACUGGAAACGGUAGCUAAUACCGCAUACUUACGGAUGUGCCCAGGUGGGAUUAGCUAGUAGGUGGGGUAACGGCUCACCAAGGCGACGAUCCCUAGCUGGUCUGAGAGGAUGACCAGCCACACUGGAACUGAGACACGGUCCAGACUCCUACGGGAGGCAGCAGUAGGGAAUAUUGCACAAUGGGCGCAAGCCUGAUGCAGCCAUGCCGCGUGUAUGAAGAAGGCCUUCGGGUUGUAAAGUACUUUCAGCGGGGAGGCGUUACUCGAAGAAGAAGCCCCGGCUAACUCCGUGCCAGCAGCCGCGGUAAUUC
rnacentral:rRNA from 1 species